rnacentral:rRNA from 1 species
CAUGUCUAAGUAUAAACGAUUUAAUCGUGAAACCGCGAAUGGCUCAUUAUAACAGCUAUAAUUUACUUGAUCUUGACACAAUCCUACUUGGAUAACUGUGGUAAUUCUAGAGCUAAUACAUGCAUUAAAGCUCUGACCUCACGGGAAGAGUGCAUUUAUUAGAACAAAACCAAGCGGCUUCGGCUGUUUCUGGUUGACUCAUAGUAACUGAGCUGAUCGCAUGGUCUUGCACCGGCGACGUGUCUUUCAAGUAUCUGCCGUAUCAACUUUCGAUGGUAGUGUAUCUGACUACCAUGGUGAUCACGCGUAACGGAGAAUAAGGGUUCGGCUCCGGAGAGUUCGCCUGAGAAAUCGCGAACACAUCUAAGGAAGGCAGCAGGCGCGAAAAUUACCCACUCUCAGCACGAGGAGGUAGUGACGAAAAAUAACGAGACCGUUCUCUUAUGAGGCCGGUCAUCGGAAUGGGUACAAUUUAAAC